CCCCGCGUCGUCCAUGUGAAUACAGCUGGUGCUGCCCCACCCCCUUCUCUUCUCUUUGCAAUGUCAGAGAAAGGCUUCCAUGUUACCCAUACCUAUGGGCUCUCAGAAACUUACGGUCCAUCCACUGUAUGUGCAUGGAAGCCUGAGUGGGACUUGCUUCCUCCCAUCGAACAAGCUCGCCUCAGAGCACGCCAAGGCGUGCGAUACACUGGCUUGGAGGGCCUAGAUGUAGUUGACCCAAAAACUAUGAAACCUGUACCUGCAGAUGGAGAGGCCAUGGGAGAAAUAGUGAUGCGAGGAAAUCUUGUAAUGAAGGGCUACUUAAAGAAUCCAGAAGCUAACAAAGAAGCCUUUGCAAAUGGGUGGUUUCAUUCUGGUGAUCUCGCUGUGAAGCAUCCAGAUGGGUAUAUAGAAAUCAAGGAUAGAAACAAGGACAUUAUCAUUUCAGGAGGUGAAAACAUUAGUAGCUUGGAAGUAGAAAAUGUGCUAUAUACGCACCCAGCAGUAUAUGAAGUAUCUGUGGUAGCAAGAGAAGACGAGCUAUGGGGAGAGUCCCCUUGUGCUUUUGUGACAUUGAAACCAGGCACGGAGAAAUCUAAUGAAGGACGUUUGGCAGAAGAUAUAAUCAAGUUUUGCCGGUCGAAAAUGCCUGCCUACUGGGUUCCAAAGUCUGUUGUGUUUGGACCAUUGCCAAAAACUGCUACGGGGAAGAU
rnacentral:misc_RNA from 1 species